UCCCUGGUGGCCCAGAGGUUAAGGAUCCAGCGCUGUCAUUGCUGUGGCACAGGUUAGAUCCCUGUCCCAGGAA
rnacentral:tRNA from 1 species